rfam:Chelonia mydas contig215284, whole genome shotgun sequence.
CCAAAGGCUCUUUUAAGAGCCAUCCACUUUCUCAUCCAAAGAGCU